GGUCGACGAUUGCAGAGUUCUCGGAGUCACGAAGAGUUUGAUCCUGGCUCAGGAUGAACGCUGGCGGCGUGCCUAAUACAUGCAAGUCGAACGCGCAGCGAAAGGUGCUUGCACCUUUCAAGCGAGUGGCGAACGGGUGAGUAACACGUGGAUAACCUGCCUCAAGGCUGGGGAUAACAUUUGGAAACAGAUGCUAAUACCGAAUAAAACUUAGUAUCGCAUGAUACAAAGUUGAAAGGCGCUACGGCGUCACCUAGAGAUGGGUCCGCGGUGCAUUAGUUAGUUGGUGGGGUAAAGGCCUACCAAGACAAUGAUGCAUAGCCGAGUUGAGAGACUGAUCGGCCACAUUGGGACUGAGACACGGCCCAAACUCCUACGGGAGGCUGCAGUAGGGAAUCUUCCACAAUGGGCGAAAGCCUGACGGAGCAACGCCGCGUGUGUGAUGAAGGCUUUAGGGUCGUAAAGCACUGUUGUAUGGGAAGAAAUGCUAGAAUAGGGAAUGAUUCUAGUUCGACGGUACCAUACCAGAAAGGGACGGCUAAAUACGUGCCAGCAGCCGCGGUAAUACGUAUGUCCCGAGCGUUAUCCGGAUUUAUUGGGCGUAAAGCGAGCGCAGACGGUUGAUUAAGUCUGAUGUGAAAGCCCGGAGCUCAACUCCGGAAUGGCAUUGGAAACUGGUUAACUUGAGUGUUGUAGAGGUAAGUGGAACUCCAUGUGUAGCGGUGGAAUGCGUAGAUAUAUGGAAGAACACCAGUGGCGAAGGCGGCUUACUGGACAACAACUGACGUUGAGGCUCGAAAGUGUGGGUAGCAAACAGGAUUAGAUACCCUGGUAGUCCACACCGUAAACGAUGAAUACUAGGUGUUAGGAGGUUUCCGCCUCUUAGUGCCGAAGCUAACGCAUUAAGUAUUCCGCCUGGGGAGUACGACCGCAAGGUUGAAACUCAAAGGAAUUGACGGGGACCCGCACAAGCGGUGGAGCAUGUGGUUUAAUUCGAAGCAACGCGAAGAACCUUACCAGGUCUUGACAUCCUUUGAAGCUUCUAGAGAUAGAAGUGUUCUCUUCGGAGACAAAGUGACAGGUGGUGCAUGGUCGUCGUCAGCUCGUGUCGUGAGAUGUUGGGUUAAGUCCCGCAACGAGCGCAACCCUUAUUGUUAGUUGCCAGCAUUCAGUUGGGCACUCUAGCGAGACUGCCGGUGACAAACCGGAGGAAGGCGGGGACGACGUCAGAUCAUCAUGCCCCUUAUGACCUGGGCUACACACGUGCUACAAUGGCGUAUACAACGAGUUGCCAACCCGCGAGGGUGAGCUAAUCUCUUAAAGUACGUCUCAGUUCGGACUGCAGUCUGCAACUCGACUGCACGAAGUCGGAAUCGCUAGUAAUCGCGGAUCAGCACGCCGCGGUGAAUACGUUCCCGGGUCUUGUACACACCGCCCGUCACACCAUGGGAGUUUGUAAUGCCCAAAGCCGGUGGCCUAACCUUAUGGAGGGAGCCGUCUAAGGCAGGACAGAUGACUAGGGUGAAGUCGUAACAAGGUAGCCGUAGUCCUGUGUGAAGUGAUCCGC
rnacentral:rRNA from 1 species